UACGUAGGUGGCAAGCGUUGUCCGGAUUUACUGGGCGUAAAGGCUGCGUAGGCGGACAUUUAAGUCUGAUGUGAAAGCCCACGGCUCAACCGUGGAGGGUCAUUGGAAACUGGGGGACUUGAGUACAGAAGAGAAGAGUGGAAUUCCACGUGUAGCGGUGAAAUGCGUAGAGAUGUGGAGGAACACCAGUGGCGAAGGCGACUCUUUGGUCUGUAACUGACGCUGAGGCGCGAAAGCGUGGGGAGCAAACAGG
rnacentral:rRNA from 1 species